AGACCAAAAACUUUACAACACAGAGAUUAUGAAUGGCUGUUUCUCUUCUUUAUCCAAGAGUAAAUACCUAAUAUGUAUUUGUUGAGUGAAGGAAUGAAUAAAAGAUCAGUCCCCUAAGCACCACAAGCUUUACAAGUGCAAUGCCAUAAAAAAUGCUCAUAAAGACACUUGUAACAAAUUUUUGAACCAAGCCCCAAAUAUAAAAAUGGUUCCAGUGGCAUAUAUAUUUUUCACUAUUAAAGUUAUAGUAAUGGAAGUCAUUUUACUCAAAUGCUUUUUAAUUUUUCAUAGUUGAUAUUAACAUAAGGAUUUUUUUGUCUGGUAGUGCCAUAGAUGGAGCAGAGUGAAGCAAGAUAAAGCCUGUUGAUUUUUCAAUUCUUGUAGUUUUCCUAAGCUUGCAGGCCUUCAGAUUUAGAGUGGAAAUAUACUGUCAUCUCUCCUGUGUCUCCAGCUUUCCAUGUGACCAUAGAACCUCUCAGACUCCAUAAUCAUAGAAAACUCCAAGUAUUUUUUGCAAGGAAAAGUUGAUGAUACUGAUGAUGAUGGUGAUGGUGAUGGUGGUACUGAUUAGAGUGCUGAUGGUAGUAGUCCUGUAACUUGAACAAGGUUACAGGACAAGUAGAAUAUGGCAGAGAUGGAAUUUGAACCCAAGCAAUCAAAUUCAAAAGACUAUACUCUAAAGCAAUGGCACUCAGGGAGUGAUCCAUCAGUGCCUGUGCACAACAAGGUCCACAACCUGGCAUUUAGUGGUAGGCCUGGAGCUGCUCUUGGUCAACAGUGUCAGAAGUUGGGAAGAAGAGCUGCAUAUCAAGCAGAAGAGAAUGAGAAGAAACAGGAACCCACUUCUGCAUCUGUCUAUAGCAACAUCUGACUAUAACGACCUUCAAAAGAUAAUGGCUGUUGCUUCAUUUCCAACCCUCCAAAUCUCAAGCAAGUAUAUCUUUGGGCCAACUGUAACCUAUAACUCUAUAGGGAAGAGGUUUCUGAGAACUCUGUGUCACAGCUUAACCAUACAAAGACAAUACAAACCAUCCCGAUGAUGAUGAUGGUUGGUAAUAAUGAAGAAAAUAAUAUGAGUGUUUUCUCAAGGAAGGCUACUUCUUGAUGGCAGUUCUGGGAGACAUAAGAGAAGUUUUAUUUUUACCCAAAUGGUUGGUAAAUAAAUUACUGUGUGACAUGACAGAGUUCAAGUUAUAUGAUAUAGUAGAUUCACAUUAUGCCAAAAACUAUAAGACUCCCAGACACAGCCCAGGAAUUCAUUUUGAGAGCUAUCAUAGGCUUCUGAAUGUGCUACCAUCUAUGCUCUUAAUUUAAACCUUAAUUUGCUGUGUGGACGACAGACUACUCUGAAAA